rnacentral:lncRNA from 1 species
CUUGGCUUAGCUGACUAACACAGCUCAAAUCUUUAAUAGUUUACAACCUUGCAUAAGCUGUUAACACUUUGUUGUCUUAGAGGAUGAAUACCUCACAUAGUUCUUCCAUCAAGAUGCGCCAUGUCCAUUUUAGAGAAAAGCAAAUGAGGGUUGCAGGAAAGGAGAAGCUGGUGCCCUUCACCGUGGAGCUGCACCCACACCUGGCCCAGGACUUGGAGAAGCUGAAAGAAGGAGAUCCCGUGGGAGUCAGAGAGGCCGCAAAUCCGGCUACCACCUGGCAUGGAGGUGACCCGGCAUACAGUGGCGGUGGGGGCCUCAGUGAGCCCCCUAAGCACAGUGGUGUGGUGGCUGCUCCUUCUCUGCCCUCCAGCUCUUGUGUACAUUUCUCCCUUGGCCUGCCCUGGCCGUGUUUCCUCCCCACAAGCUUCUCUCUCC